GACGAACGCUGGCGGCGUGCUUAACACAUGCAAGUCGAACGCUGAAGCUUGGUGCUUGCACUGGGUGGAUGAGUGGCGAACGGGUGAGUAAUACGUGAGUAACCUGCCCUUGACUCUGGGAUAAGCCUGGGAAACUGGGUCUAAUUCUGGAUAUGACAUGCCACUGCAUGGUGGUGUGUGGAAAGGGUUUUACUGGUUUUGGAUGGGCUCACGGCCUAUCAGCUUGUUGGUGGGGUAAUGGCCUACCAAGGCGACGACGGGUAGCCGGCCUGAGAGGGUGACCGGCCACACUGGGACUGAGACACGGCCCAGACUCCUACGGGAGGCAGCAGUGGGGAAUAUUGCACAAUGGGCGGAAGCCUGAUGCAGCGACGCCGCGUGAGGGAUGACGGCCUUCGGGUUGUAAACCUCUUUCAGCACGGAAGAAGCGAGAGUGACGGUACGUGCAGAAGAAGCGCCGGCUAACUACGUG
rnacentral:rRNA from 1 species